AAGAUUGCCAAAGAACCAGGCAACGUGAGUAUCCAGGUGCACAGAAUCGUCAGGAAUUGUGAUCUCAUCGAUAUAAGGAGAAAUGGCUCCAGUUAACCCAAUUUAGGAACAGAAAAAUGAAGAUAAUUAUUUCUCAACCCUGGCUUCACAAUGUAAUGACCAAAAGAGCUCUUAGAAAAUCAAUGCCUGUUCACCUACAGAAUGGGAGAAAAUUUUUGCAGUCUACCCAUCUGACAAAGGGCUAAUAUCCAGAAUCUACAAAGAACUUAAACAAAUUUACAAAAAAGGCAAACAACCCCAUCAAAAAGUGGGCAAAGGAUAUGAACAGACAUUUCUCAAAAGAAGACAUUUAUGCAGCCCACAGACACAUGAAAAAAUGCUCAUCAUCACUGGCCAUCAGAGAAAUGCAAAUCAAAACCACAGUGAGAUACCAUCUCACACCAGUUAGAAUGGUGAUCAUUAAAAAGUCAGGAAACAACAGGUGCUGGAGAGGAUGUGGAGAAAUAGGAACACUUUUACACUGUUGAUGGGAGUGUAAAUUAGUUCAACCACAGUGUGGCGAUUCCUCAAGGAUCUAGAACUAGAAAUACCAUUUGACCCAGCCAUCCCAUUACUGGGUAUAUACCCAAAGGAUUAUAAAUCUUGCUACUAUAAAGACACAUGCACACGUAUAUUUAUUGUGGCACUAUUCACAAUAGCAAAGACUUGGAACCAACCCAAAUGCCCAUCAAUGAUAAACUGGAUAAAGAAAAUAUUUCACAUAUACACCAUGGAAUACUAUGCAGCCAUAAAAAAGGAUGAGUCCAUGUCCUUUACAGGGACAUGGAUGAAGCUGAAAACCAUCAUUCUCAGCAAACUAUCACAAGGACAGAAAACCAAACACUGCAUGUUAUCACUCAUAGGUGGGAACUGAAGAAUGAGAACACUUGGACACAGGGCAGCAAACAUCACACACCGGGGGCCUGUCGUGGGGUGGGGGGCUAGGGGAGGGAUAGCAUUAGGAGAAAUACCUAAUGUAAAUGACGAGUUGAUGGGUGCAGCAAACCAACAUGGCGCAUGUAUACCUAUGUAACAAACCUGCACGUUGUGCACAUGUACCCUAGAACUU
rnacentral:lncRNA from 10 species